AGAGAGGGGGACAGAGUCAGAGAGGGGGGACAGAGCCAGAGAGGGGGACAGAGGCAGAGAGGAGGACAGAGGGGGAACAGAGCCAGAGAGGGGGGCAGAGACAGAGAGGGGGAUGGAGACAGAGGCAGAGGGAGAGACAGGGGGCAAAACCAAAAAAAAAGAGAGAGAGACAGAGACAGAGACAGAGACAGAGAGAAGGGGGGGAGGGAAAAGACAAGGAGAGAGAGAGAGACAGAAAGAAAGAGAGACAGAGAGAGAUGGGAGGGGAGACUGCAGACAGGGGGAAGGAAACAGAGAAGGAGAGACAGAGGGAGAGAGAAACAGAAGACAGAGACAGAUAGACAGGUGGGGGCUGCUCCCCGUGGGAGCUCCUGGACGGGUCUCUGGGACACUGCGAGCAGAGCACUGCACAGGGUCUCAUGUGGCCUUCUCCCUUCUCUCUAAAAGGACACGGGGCAGGCACACCUCCCAGGAGUGAGCCGGUGGCUUCCCUUCUCCUUUAGGAAAGCUCCUCACAGGGAAAGUGGCCGUGGAAACCCCACCCCUCUGCCACGUGCCUGCACGGAAGGCUCUAGAGUGAGAGCUGCUGUCUUUGUUCCAACCCCCCCCCCCACCUCCCCACCCUGCACACUGCGUGCUCAGGGCCAGCAGGAAGAGGCCGGAAGGGCAAAGUGGACCUUCCAGACCCGGAGGGAGGAGCCACCGGGUAGGUGGUUGGAUGCAAGGGGUACUAUAGACGCCUGUCUUUGCCAAACGGAUCUAAUGUCCUACCGGGGACUCACCCGUCGGCUGUUUUUCAGUUAGGGUCACGUGAAAGUUCUCUGUUGACAUAAAUCAUAUCUAGUUAAGGUGAGAAAGGGUGGGCACAGCCCAGCCCUUCCAGGACUUUAUUUCUGUAGGACCCACAUCAUCUUAGGCAACAUACACAAGUGUGCACACACACACACACACACACACACACACACACAUACACAAACACACACCCUGAAGAUAGUGACCAGAACUAAAAACGUAUGCCUGCUGUCCCAGCCCCUAGCCGUGUGGGGAGAGGAUCAGGGUGGGUUCUGCCUUACCAGGAGGACACUGUUUGGAACAAGAGUUUCCCCCCCCCACUCACAAACUGCCAGCCUCCACUGGUGUCCUCCCUGUGUGGGACACAGUGAGAGACCUCAGGAGAGUGGGACGCUCAUCCUCGCCACGUGACACGGACCAGUGCUGACUCUUCAGCUCAAGAUCCCUGAUGCAGGCGGUGAGCUGGAGGGUACAAACCGGCAGGAUGGAACCUCCCAGAGUGGGGCAGCCCAGGAAGGAAGGGCACCUCUCCAGCUGGCUGGGACUGUCCUGGCUGCCUGAGAAAGAGCGUGGAGAGAGGGGAGGCUGAGGCUGAUGGGGAAAGAGCUGCCCUAAAGACGGGACCGAAGGAAGACAAGGCAGCUGCCCCUCUGUGAGGAGAGAUCAGGCACAGACGGGCCAAGGCCACACUGAAGAGCCACAAAGGCAACCCAGAACGGUUUGUGAGGCAGGCCUGCCGUCUGCCCAGGCCAGCACUGCAGAGACCCCACGGCACUGGAGGGCAUCCGGGCCAAACUCCCACCCAACCUGACUAGUUGCGUGCUGACUGCCUGUCCAACCACCGGAUGUGCGUGACAAAGGGCACAUGACAAGGAGGAAGAGGAUAGAGUAGGGCACCGGAACUGAGGAACCCCCACCUGCGGCUGCGUGGUACCCUCCCCGGGGCAGACCAACUCAGCCCCGGGCACAAGGAGUGUGAAGGUGCCUCCUUCUCUCCCCUCCUCGUGCGGGUCACAGCAGCUUGCCUUCAUGGCCAAGACAGCAGUGCACAUUCACAGCCCAGCCCAGGGUCAACGUCAGCCUGCUCUUGGUUGUGAUAUGUUCACCGGAGCCUUGAUCCUCACGGUCUACAAUGCUGACGACAUCACACUCACUGGAUCUGGUGAGUGAGAAGCGGCCGGGACCCCAGAAUCCCGGGUAAGAUAUGCGUGUGCCACUGGGUGGGAACUGAGCCCGGUGAGGAUUCAGGGCCCAUGAGAUUUUAGGGGUCCAGUGAUUUAGGGCACAGCCUCUAAGUAAGUAAGUGCUUGCACCUUAAGCCUUCUACUGUUAAGACGGGGGCAGAAGUUUUGGUAGGCCUCCUUAGAUUUUGGAGACAACAGUUGGAAAUACUGCUCCCGGCUUCAGGUGGGGCCCAGAGCAGGACUCCGCAGCAAGGCUAGGCUUGGAUACAAGGUGUUGAAGCCCUUGUUCCAAGUGAUCAGCGGAGCCAAUGUCUAGAGGUAUUUAUGGACGUCAGGACACGGUAGAGUUUCUGGUACAUUCUGUGGGUGUUGCAUUACGGACCCUCAGUGUUCUCAGGCAACAUUGAGAAACUCUCAAGAGUUUUCCCACUUGAGGGGCGCCUGGGCGACUCAAUCAGUCAAGUGCGACUUCAGUUCAGGUCACGAUCUCAUAGUUCGUGAGUUCAAGCCCCACACGGGGCUCUCUGCUCUCAGCGCGGAGCCCACUUCGGAGCCUCCUCUCUCUCUGCCCCUCCCCCCCACUCACAGGCUGUCUCUCUCACUCUCGCUCUCAAAAAUAAAUACACAUUUUUUUGAAAAAAGGGCUUUCCCGUUUGAAAAACAGUUUCUGGUGUGCUUUGGGAUAUUUUAUGGAUAGGCUAUGUGGCCAGACCAUCAAUGUGAGCUUGCUAUUACCAGGCCCACGGAGUCAUGACUGGAAAUCCGUCACGUGCCUCUUCCUUCUUAUGCUUGUGCUCUCAUAGAGGUUCUCUUGAGAAAUAAUACAAGAGGAGGACGUUCCAGCCUGCAAUUCACACACGUCAGCACAAUACGUUAGUGCCAGAAAUGGACUCUGCCACAUCGUAGCCCCUCUGGCUGGCCCUGCAGGCAGUGAAGGGAAAUCCUCCUCUUAAUAGAAGAUCUGUGGGCACAACACGUAACCGUUCCAUUUAUAUGAAAUAUUCACAGACUCCAAGUCGGCAACGCAGAUGGCUUGCGUUGCUGAUCAGGACAUAAAAGGAGCAAGAUCAGAAAAGUAGAUCCAAAAACUUGGGGAGAACAGGCGUGUGGCUGGCCUGCAAAAGAGGCCUGAUGCUUGAAGACCCGUGUGUCUGGUGUUAACACACACUAGAAAGCGUCUCCUGCGAAGGAGGCACUGAGCCACUAGGGGGGCAGGAUGACGCAUCAGUGGAUCCCAGCCGGCCUCUGUCCUCCACAAGUCCAAGUCCACGGCUUAUACCAUUGUUCCAUGAACAGAGUGUCCAUGAGGAGAGGGAAGAAAGCACACACGAGUCUCAGGGCGCGGCCUUCCCCUCAUCAAGCCCAAUGUGGUGACUGUCACUGCUGAGUGCCGAGCCUGCCAGCAGCACAGACCAAUGCCGAGUUUCUGAGCUCCUAAUCUAUUGACCUACUGCCUGCAGAAGAUUAAGGAUGGCCACAAAUUCUUUGGCGCUCCUCCUAUCAAAAGGUGAAAUCUGUGCUCCUUCUCCUUGAAACUGGGUGGGUUCUUUGACCAACAGACUAGGACAGAGGUGACACUGUACUGGUUUCUGGGGCCAGGCCUCAAGUGGCUUCCAAUUUUUCACUCUUGGAAUGCUUGCUCUCAGGGAAGCCAGCCAACACAUAGAUAUCCAACCACCCUGGGACUGCCAUGCUGUGAGGAAGCCCAAGCUGGCCUCAGGUAGGGGCUGCAUGGGAAGUGAGAUCCACCUGCAGCCCCAGCAGUUACAGCCAUUUCAGGGAAGAAGGCUUCAGAUGGGCAGCCACCAUAUGACUGCAACCAUAAGAAGGACCAGCUGAGACCCACUACCUUACCCUGCCAACCCCAGGAAAGUAAAUCAUAAUAAAUUGUAGGUUUUAGACCACUCAGUUUCUAGGUGGUUUGUUAUGCUGUAUUACACAAUCGAAACAGUAUUCCAUACAACAUUUUUUUGUUCCAAGAGAUCUAUGUCAAAGUAAAGAAGGCAUGAAGGUUGGCACGUGACCAUGGGAUUCACUAAUGUCACCCGGGACCCCAUCACCCAGAAGCAGCCAACCUAGUAAGAACGACAGAAAGGCUUGUUAAUGGCUGAGCUAAGGGGCCCACUCUGGGCCAGAACCUCUCAGGAUUCGGUCACUGUCCCCCAGGAUCCAGGGUUUGUACUGAAGCCAUGGUCAGUUAGUGGCCCUGGGUCACGAGGGCCUCAAAGACAAGCUCCAGGAACCACAGAGAAGCAAGUGUGCCCCAUCACCACUGUCGUCAGUGAGCAUGAUCAGCGCUUCCUUCCUGCCAGUGCUGUUAUAGGCUGUGCUAGGAUGGGAGUCCCAAUUCCCUGGCUAGAGCUGGGGAACGUUUCUGUCCCUAUCUCUGCUCCGCUGGAAGCCGUGACUACCAUACAGCCGCCUGAGGCUUCCCACGCCACUGGACAAGCAAGCAAAGAAUGGACUUACUGUAUAGGAGGGGCAAUCAACCCCAAAUACCCUGAAGGGCUAGGUUUGCUGAUACUCACUGGGGACAGGGAGGGAAACAUCUGGAACUGACAGGUUCGCUGGGACAUUUUAGUCCACGCCAAGGAUAAGCUACGAACAGACAAUUGCAGCAAUCAUGACCCCUCCAGGGCAAGGCAACCAAGGGUUCCAUUCCUCAGGACAAACAAAUCCGACUGGCCACACUUCUAGCUGAAGGAGACCAAUCCAGAAGGGGGGGUGGAGGAAGGAGAGGACGGGUAUUGAUUUCAGCCCUGGGACCGUUUGCAGUGGCAGGGACCAGUGCUUGGCUUGACAACCUUUUUUCUAAACUUUUAGUAGAUUGCAGCUAGAUAGCAUCUUAAAGAAUCCUACCUGCACCGCCCUCAGGAAAUAAGCAAGGAUGUGCCUCCUCGGGGCGGGUGUGCGGGGACACGCCAUAAAGGACUCAGGUACGGUCCGUCAGAUGGCCCGGCUGCACCGCAGGCCCCAGAGUCCCCUGGGGCCGCCGUUUCCAGUGCGGCAUGCGAGUGUGAAUGACACCACAGAGCCUUCCUCAAGUUCACCACGAGGCCUCCUACUUGCUUUCUCAGGGCUUUCUCGUUGCCUCUGAGGGAUGAGAUGCACCAGGGUGUGUGACCGCCCACGCACGCGCAAUCGCGAGUGUGAACUGAAGUAACUGCGGAGGGAAAAUCAGGCUGUGAGCGACAGGACCCGGCAGACCCAUCCCACCCUCUCGCUUUCCCUGCUCAGACGGGUCCGAUCUCCAGGGGCUCCACGUGGUCUCUCUGAAGACAGAGCCAUCAGCCUGUGGCGCCCAGUGGCCUCCUUGGUAUUGGUUUUCCUGCCUUCCGGUCUCAGUCCCCUCUUCCCUGAGAUUGCCCCAGGAGAAACGUGAGCACAGAAGCCUUUGCCUCGGGCUCUACUUUCUAGGGCAACUAGACUAAGAAUAGACAACAACAAUCAUACAGUUUUAACUAUGCAGCCUGGUUCACAAAAAGAAGGAGAACUUUAUAGUGUCCAAAAUAAAUGAGAAGUCAAAGCCAGAGUGGUCAUGGAGCCGGUGCUAGGUCAGCCCUCAGGGAACGAGGGACAGGGACAGGAGUGGUGACAGGUUCGUGUGAAGCUCAGGUAAGAGAUAUGGCCAAGGGCUUGCGUUCGCUGGACCAACAGCCUCCCAUAUCAGGCGGGAGCUUGAAGGGCCCCCCAUCCAUGAAACGAGACUAGAGAAAUUCUACCCGCUGUUCCAAGAAACCAGCAAGGAAGUUCUCCAUCUGCCAGGAGGUCAGCAUGAAAAGGCUCACAAAAGAAAUAGAAACUCUGAACGUGUGACAUGUGGCCGUGCAAGGUAUGAAUUUCUACCCAUUCUUGGUGUGUGGGUCUCAAGAUAAGGAUUAGAAUAAAAGUCGUGUCACGUGAUUGGACUCCCUGGGGCCCAGGAAGGAAAAAACAUGCAUGCUUUCCAGGAAGGACACUUCUCCAAGCUAGAAGAUGAGCCGCAGGAAGUGUCAUCCGAGCAGGAGACAACAGGACUCGCGUCUGGGACCAGAGACACCUGAGAACGUAGACAUGCAACGAGACCAAAGGCAACAUAAACACAGAACGAGCGACACUUUUAAUGAAGAAAGUAAUUUAGAAACUCAGAAAUUAAAAGUAUCACAGAAAUUAAAAACUCGAGGGAAGGGCUUAACACAGAUGAGACCAAGCGGGAACAGGAUUCAUCAAAUCAGAACGUAGAGAAGGGAAUAUUAUCCAGAAAACAGCUCAGAAAGAUUAAAAAUUGUUUAAAUUAUGGGCCAUCAAAAGGUAUGAAAAACAGAAUGAAACGAUCCACCGGAGGCAUUGAGGAGAGGAUGGGAAAGAGGUGACGCUCAGAGAUAAUGACAGAACUUUCCAGAAUGGGCCAUGUAUGAGGUUGCUAGGGCCGCCAUAACAAAGCACCAUAGGCUGAAGGCUUCAACAACAGACAGCGAUUUCUCCUCGUCCAGAGGCUGGAUGUCUAGGGUCCAGGCAUGGUCAGGGCUGGCUCCUCUCCUGGGCAUGUAGACGGCCAUGUUUCCCUGUGUCCUCAAACGCUCGUCCCUCCGUGUGAGUGUGUGUGUCCCCUCAUCUCUUCUUAUGAGGACACCAGUCCUAUCGGACCCUGUUCUGCCUUACUCACCUCUUUGUUAAAGACGCUGUCUCCAAAUACUGCCACCUUCUGAGUCACUGGGGGUCAGAGCUUCAGCAUGUGGGUUUGGGGACACGAUCCAACCCAUGACAGAAACAACCAAGGAUGAAAACCGUGGAAGCAGCAAUCUGAGGCUCAAGCAAAACCAAAACACAGAAUCCUCACAAAGAAGAGGAGCCGUGGAGGAGACAGGACGGAGGGAGUGCACACGUCCAGGGGCAGUGCCAGUGACCGCAGAUGUCCGUGAGCAGAAGACAACACUGUCACCGUCCGGACGGAGACCCGCUGCUGAGCGAGAACGAUGCCUGUGGGACUAUCGCUCCGUGGGGAGCCUGAGUGGCUCUAGACCAACGGACCGGGAGCACGUCCUCGUCCCUAGAGCCCUGGGGAGGAAGCAGGACCGGCGGACGCUGAGGUGCAGGAAGCAGCGGGCAGCUGCGUGUAAGCAACCAGGCAUAAAACAGCAGUCCAUGACUCACUGGGGACACCGAAGGUCAGGUGGGACAAAGGGAGGGAGCUUCGGGCCCCCAGGUGAGGUGUGGACACCCCCCAAAUGACUCGCCCCCCACAGGACGCCCCCAGAUGAUCCAUGGGGUGCAGGAGAAAGUGGAGCUUCUCUCCACAGUUACCUCUUGACCCAACACCGGGAGGACAAGUGACCCGCCCCCGUGGUGGCACCAGGCCACUGACGCCCAAGGAGACGGAGAUUGGGUGGGCCUUCCUUGCCCUGGGCCACGGGACACCGUGUGCUGUCCACUCUGCUCCCAGGCAGGGACCACAGCGAGCAGCAACCUGUAGGCUCCGCCCACCUCAGGGGAACCUCUUUUAUUUUGCACAAAGUAGCCCGGUGGGCGAGUGGCCCCUCCAGUUCAUCUCUCCAGGCACAGUCAGAAUUACUGCAGCAGGCCUAGCCCCCCCCCCCCCCCACUCUUACAGGGGCCUUGGCAGCCUCCAGCUCCCCAACUCCCUUCCUGCCCCAUCCCCAGCAAUGUCCCCCCAGGGGUGGGCGACCCAGGCCUCUCAGCCAAGCCCUGUUCACCACAUUUUGAAAACAGCCACCCCGCUUGCCCAGCAUGGGCCUGGGGCACAUGCUGGUGACUCACUCGGCCUUGGGGAGGCCCCCCAGGCCUUAGGAGCUCUCCUAGGAAGGCUGGCAGGGAACUGUAGGGACCAGAGACCCAGGGUGUGGUUUACAAGGGCGGGCGUGGGAUCUGGGUGGAAACAACACUCUGGCUGUGAGGUUCUGGUUUCACAGGGAGUGGCAGAGUAGGGCCUGAGAGGUUGGAGGGGAUCCCUCAGAUCCGAGAGGACCACAUUUCAGGUGACCUGUGCCCACCACUGUGGUUUACAGAUGAGGCUUCGUUUUAACUAACCAGCCCUCACCAAGUAGAUACGUGCUUGAAAGUCGUGUACCCGAGCGCGCACACACGUGCACGCAGCGUGGUGCACGCACAACUCGCACGGUGCACACACACCUGCACGCACAGCCUCACAACCAGAGGACAGCCCCAGGGGCCCCAGGACGGGGCUGACCCCGGCCUGCUCCUGCAAGCUGCUCACGGGCCACGUCGAAGGCACAGGAGGCUGAUGAUCGAGACACCCUUCUCAGGCCCAAGAGCGGAGGAGGGCUGGCCUGCGUGUCUAACAAAAAGCACAAGAACUCGUGGGACCUGUCCCUUCCAGGUGAGAGCAAAGUUCUGAGUUACCAGGGACAAAACCACUGUCCUUUUCAAGAAACAGGUGAUGUGCUCUGAAAACCGAGACGUGAUUUAAUGUCAUGUGACUUUGUUGCCAAAACCCGUUCAAUCUGUUUUCUAGUCUGUUAAGAAAAAGGUCUUCCAAAUCAAACGUUCCGGUGAGUUUUGAACCCGGUUAUUAAAGACACACUAGCACAGCCCAGGGACGGGUUCCAGCGGGGAUGGGGUCUACGGAGGCCUGUGCGCAGCUGACGGGCCACGAUUUUGCAAGCACAGCUGAAGGUGCCCUUCUUUGUUCGAAUUUGCGAAUUUACAUAUUUUUCUGAGGUGUUCUUUUUAGCUGUGACAGCCAUGUGUGGAAGCAAGCCCGUCAUGGACGACAGCCGUGCGGUCCCGGGUUUGCAGCGAGAACGCCAGACCACGGUGUGAGAAGCCAUGAGGCAUGUUCAUUCACACCAGCCUCCUUGUGCUUUUAAAAUUAUUGAUUUUUAAUUAUUUAUCAUCUUAAAUU